rnacentral:tRNA from 1 species
AAGACACUAGUAAAACUGUCCAUUACAUUACCUUGUCAAGGUAAAAUUGCGAGUUAAAACCUCGCGUGUCUUG